rnacentral:rRNA from 1 species
UACGGAGGGGGCUAGCGUUGUUCGGAAUCACUGGGCGUAAAGGGCGCGUAGGCGGCUGUUCAAGUCGGGGGUGAAAUCCUGUGGCUCAACCACAGAAUGGCCUUCGAUACUGGACGGCUAGAGACCGGAAGAGGUGAGUGGAACUGCGAGUGUAGAGGUGAAAUUCGUAGAUAUUCGCAAGAACACCAGUGGCGAAGGCGGCUCACUGGCCCGGUACUGACGCUGAGGCACGAAAGCGUGGGGAGCAAACAGG